rnacentral:rRNA from 1 species
GACGAACGCUGGCGGCGUGCUUAACACAUGCAAGUCGAACGAUGAACCAGGGCUUGCCCUGGGGAUUAGUGGCGAACGGGUGAGUAACACGUGGGCAACCUGCCCCAGACACCGGGAUAACCAUUCGACAGAGUGGCUAAUACCGGAUACGACCACUUUGGGCAUCCAACGGUGGUGGAAAGGAUUCUGGUCUGGGAUGGGCCCGCGGCCUAUCAGCUUGUUGGUGGGGUAAUGGCCUACCAAGGCGACGACGGGUAGCCGGCCUGAGAGGGCGACCGGCAACACUGGGACUGAGACACGGCCCAGGAUCCGACGGGAGGCAGCAGUGGGGAAUAUUGCGCCAUGGGCGAGAGCCGGACGCAGCGACGCCGCGUGAGGGACGAAGGUCGUCGGAUUGUAAACCUCUUUCAGGAGGGACGAAGCGAAAGUGACUGUACCUGCAGAAGAAGCACCGGCUAACUACGUGCCAGCCGCCGCAGUAAGAC